GCCGGGGCCGGGGCCGGGGCCGGGGCCGGGGCCGGGGCCGGGGCCGGGGCCGGGGCCUCCUCCCCGGUGCGCUGCGGGAUGGCCUCGUCUCGGCCGGAACACGGCAGAUCAGGAAAGGUCACAUGCUUUUUGGUGUCCUGAAUUACACUACAACUCAAGGUGGAAGUCGAAGACUCAGAUCCAAGAUCCCAGAGCCACUGCUGACGCUGAACCCAUGAACAGGAGUCCAGGCUGUGUUCAGGAGUUACUCCAGGAUGAGGAACUGCUAUUGGUCCUCAAGCAGCAGGACGGGAGAAGAGCAGAUGAAAAGCUGCAGCUAAGCCUGAUGGACCUGCACAACUCUCAGGUCAUCAUGUGAGAGGCAGCUGUGAGGCAUCAAUUCUUUCCAUGCACGUGAAUUAAUUUUUUCCAUCUGCAAAUUUAGGUGGAAAACUGCAGUUUUCAUUAAUCUUUGUGGAAACAAUGUAAUGGCCCAAAAAACCCUCAAAAUCGCAGCUUUAUGCAGUGACUGCCUGUAGAUUUGUUAUGGCCUAAAACUACCCAUUUUAUUGCAUUAAAAAAAAAAAAAGAAAAAAGCGAAAAAUAAAAUUUGGAGUGCAAGAAAGGCAUUUGUGAACAUAUACAUUAAAAUAUGAAUAAGACAGAGGCUGAGAGAACAUUAAUAUGGCCCUUUGUUUUCUGCUAAUGUGCCUUCAUUUCGCUAUCGUUAAAUUUUUAUGGUAGUUAAAUUUUGGCGCAUGAAUAUUUAAAAACAAUGUAACAGACGCUGGCAAAAAAAUAAAAGCAUAACAACAUUGAUUCAA